AUUUGGUUUUCUUUUUCUUUAUCUAGACUCUUUAACGCCAUGGUUUUCUGAGCUCUCGAGUAGAGUCUGCAUUUAUUUACAUCGACUAUUUUUAUCUGAGCAUAUCAAUCCUAAGUGUAGUUCAACAUUACACGAAUAUCAUCAUCUUGGCAAAUAAAAAAUGAAAAACUAAAAAAAAAAGAAGAAUAUUUGGGUUCUUAAAAACGCUGAGCCAGGCCUGGCAUCCAUCCAAUAUGCUGAUGCCAUUGGGGCAUUCUGCUGUGUAGUUGGCUUCAUGUCCUUGUAAACUAUGUUCAUCCUGUUCACUACCCAUGUAGCCACCAUUUAUAAUCUGAUGUAGCUUUUUCUGUCCCUCUGUUACGUGAAAGGCAGAGGCACACACACAGGAAAAAUGUAAAAUCUAUAAUUAAGGGUCUGUUAUUGCCUCCUGUUCUUAUUCAUAAAUAAAAUACGCAUGAUAGAACUGGUGUUUUAUGCAGUAUUAGAUAUUUCAUGUGUAGGACUUGUUUUUCCAAAUUUAUUGAAUGGAUAAUUCAGUUUUUCCUGGUGAUCCGUAAGUGCAUUCCAUUCUUUCUGCUUACCUUCUUCUAGUGAAUGUGAUUGUUCUCUGGCUGGUGUUUUUUUCUUUCUUUUUUUUUCCCCCUAAUGUUGAGCCUACACUAAAGUGAUCUACAGUUGCAAGAAAUUGGUGACAAUUGCAUAAACAUGUAGGAAAUGCUGUUAAUCAACUGGAGACGCAUUACGAUUGAAUAGAAACUGCGCAACAGAUGCAAUUAGACAGUAUUUUUGCAUGAGAUGGAUCUUUGGUAAUUUAUUGAUGUUAGUGGAAAUGUGAAUGAAUUCAAAGCGGAAGAUUUGGUUGUAGCAUAUCGUGCAAUGCAAUUAGAUGGGUUUUGGCUUUGAUAUUUGGGCAGUUGAUGCUUUAAAUGGGGGAUUUCAUGUCAGCCAUUCAUUAACAUUGGCAUUUUCUUAUUAUAUACAAUGUUUUCUAGAGCUCUUUCUUUGUGUGUAGUUACAAUCACUUUUGGCAGAGUGAAUCCUUCUGGAUGUUUGCAGUUUCACAAUGUCAAGAAAUAACUUUAUUUUGGAAUUUUUAUAUGUAUAAUUUGUAGUCAGGGAGUGCUACGUGUUCUAAAUCCCCAUGAUUGGAAUAUGAAAUGGAAUUAGGCUCAUGAUCUAGAGGAGUUAUGUAAAGCAGAAACUAAUGACUACGUUGUUAAUUUCCUCUACAAUUAAGGGAAAAUCCUUAUUAUGGGCAUUAGGCCGAUGGUAUGUUUACCUGCUUAGACAUGUGGACAGCUGGGUUUUAUGGACCGGGCGGAGACACCGAAACACUCAGUGGAGAGCAGGCCCCUUCCGUCAAUCUGCCAAUUCCAUACUUAUGGUUGGUUUGCCCAGUGGGAACAAAUUGUUAACUGUUAUAUCAUUAACACGAGGUAAUUACGCGCGGGAAUGCUUUUAUUUUCGUCUCAGACAAUCAAAAGUAAUUGUAAGAUUUUGGUAGGAAUUAUUUUGCCUCUUUUACAAUUCGGCAACAUUCAAAGGAAUCAGAUUCCAAAAGCUAUGAUAAAACCCAUGUUGGAAUUUAACCAAUAAAAAAAAAAAAGUGAAAGAUGGAACCUUUUAGAUAGGAAUGGCAAAUGAGAGCGG
rnacentral:misc_RNA from 1 species